UGGGGAAUAUUGCACAAUGGGCGCAAGCCUGAUGCAGCCAUGCCGCGUGUAUGAAGAAGGCCUUCGGGUUGUAAAGUACUUUCAGCGGGGAGGAAGGGAGUAAAGUUAAUACCUUUGCUCAUUGACGUUACCCGCAGAAGAAGCACCGGCUAACUCCGUGCCAGCAGCCGCGGUAAUACGGAGGGUGCAAGCGUUAAUCGGAAUUACUGGGCAUAAAGCGCACGCAGGCGGUUUGUUAAGUCAGAUGUGAACUCCCCGGGCUCAACCUGGGAACUGCAUCUGAAACUGGCAAGCUUGAGUCACGUAGAGGGGGGUAGAAUUCCAGGUGUAGCGGUGAAAUGCGUAGAGAUCUGGAGGAAUACCGGUGGCGAAGGCGGCCCCCUGGACAAAGACUGACGCUCAGGUGCGAAAGCGUGGGGAGCAAACAGG
rnacentral:rRNA from 1 species